GAGGGUGAAGGGGUUGCAAUAAACUGGUGGCUGCGACUGUUUAAUAAAAACACAGCACUCUGCAAACACGAAAGUGGACGUAUAGGGUGUGACGCCUGCCCGGUGCCGGAAGAUUAAAUGAUGGGGUGCAAGCUCUUGAUUGAAGUCCCGGUAAACGGCGGCCGUAACUAUAACGGUCCUAAGGUAGCGAAAUUCCUUGUCGGGUAAGUUCCGACCUGCACGAAUGGCGUAACGAUGGCCACACUGUCUCCUCCCGAGACUCAGCGAAGUUGAAGUGUUUGUGAUGAUGCAAUCUACCCGCGGCUAGACGGAAAGACCCCAUGAACCUUUACUGUAGCUUUGCAUUGGACUUUGAACCGAUCUGUGUAGGAUAGGUGGGAGGCUAUGAAACCGGAACGCUAGUUUCGGUGGAGCCGUCCUUGAAAUACCACCCUGGUUUGUUUGAGGUUCUAACCUUGGCCCGUGAUCCGGGUCGGGGACAGUGCAUGGUAGGCAGUUUGACUGGGGCGGUCUCCUCCCAAAGCGUAACGGAGGAGUACGAAGGUACGCUAGGUACGGUCGGAAAUCGUGCUGAUAGUGCAAUGGCAUAAGCGUGCUUAACUGCGAGACCGACAAGUCGAGCAGGUGCGAAAGCAGGUCAUAGUGAUCCGGUGGUUCUGUAUGGAAGGGCCAUCGCUCAACGGAUAAAAGGUACUCUGGGGAUAACAGGCUGAUACCGCCCAAGAGUUCAUAUCGACGGCGGUGUUUGGCACCUCGAUGUCGGCUCAUCUCAUCCUGGGGCUGUAGCCGGUCCCAAGGGUAUGGCUGUUCGCCAUUUAAAGAGGUACGUGAGCUGGGUUUAAAACGUCGUGAGACAGUUUGGUCCCUAUCUGCCGUGGGCGUUGGAAGUUUGAAGGGGGCUGCUCCUAGUACGAGAGGACCGGAGUGGACGAACCUCUGGUGUACCGGUUGUGACGCCAGUCGCAUCGCCGGGUAGCUAUGUUCGGAAGAGAUAACCGCUGAAAGCAUCUAAGCGGGAAACUCGCCUUAAGAUGAGACUUCCCCGGGGACUUGAUCCCCUUGAAGGGUCGUUCGAGACCAGGACGUUGAUAGGUCGGGUGUGUAAGCGCAGUAAUGCGUUCAGCUAACCGAUACUAAUUGCCCGUAAGGCUUGAUCCU
rnacentral:rRNA from 1 species